GGAUGUAGCCAAGUGGAUCAAGGCAGUGGAUUGUGAAUCCACCAUGCGCG
rnacentral:tRNA from 2 species